AUUUUACAAUUAUUUAUACUAGUUUAUAUAGGAUAUUUUUAGGAGACUUAUUUUGCAUGAAGUUAGUUUUAACUAAAACUCUGAUUAAGGCAUCUGCAAAAAGCUUGUUUAUUUGUUAUUGAUGAAGCUUCAUGUUAACCUGGUAGUGUUUUACAAUGGCUAGAAAAGUAAAAUAUUUAGAAUGAAUAAUACACUUUUCCUUCAAACUACUCAAUAUGUGAAUGUUACAUCAUUCCAGCCCAUGAAACUGUCUGGAAUAAUCAAAAUUAAUGAAAAACUUUCUGAACUUGUUUGCUACACUUGCAAUACUGAAUCCAGCCUUGUUCAGUACGCUACUUGAACUCGGACUAGGAAGUGGUUCCAAGGGCUAGCUUAGAUAAUUGUUUGUGCAUGAACGACAGGGGCCGAGCUGCUGCCACUGCCACCAUCCCCCACAAUAAAUAAAUAGUGUUCUGGUUUAGUAUUAUGAAUAUUUAGUCAUCUCAUUCACAAGUUUUAUAUAACUCGUCACCUUAGGGGUAUUUGGGGCAUUUGUUUGCAUGAAAUUGUAAACAUAAUUGUGAAACUGAUAUUUUAUGCACUUCAUGUUUGUUUGAUUGCAAGUGUAUGUGAUAGUGGUAAUGCAAAAGCAGAAAACAUAAUCUACAUACUGACUUGAUACUUAUUUGACUUCCCAUAAAAACGUACUCAAGCGAAAUUAUCAUGAAACUGAAAGUGACUUUGUCAUAGUGAUAUAAAUUCAGGACUUUCUUGAUGAGCUUGUUUGUGGUGCUUAAUCCUUGCAAUUAGGAAAAUCUAUUCUGUUACUUCAAAUGCUAUUUGCUUUCUUUACUAUUUACCUACUAGUUAAUUAUGCUGUAAUUUUUUCGAUGGCAAAUAUCAUUUUCGUUUUUGCUUGAUUUGUGGUUCUUAUGAUGAAUUUGUCAGACAACAUCAUGGUUUCUGUGGCAAGUUUCAUCCUCCUUUUAAUGUCUAAAAACUUGAUUUGUGGUCCUUAUGAUGAAUUUGAUAGACAACAUCAAGGCGCCUUGCGAACAAGAAAAUUGCGAAGUUCCAGAAGAACAUCACGAAGAGGGGAUCUGUUCCCGAGACAACUGUGAAGAAAGGAGCUGACUAUCCUGUAGGACCUAUUGUGCUUGGUUUCUUCGUCUUCGUGGUCAUUGGAUCAUAUUCGCUCAGAGUAGAAUGUUCUUAAUAGGUCAAAGUUGACAUAUCACCGCAAAGUUGUGUCAAAAUCAUUUAUGUCACACCAAGAGUAAAAUGUAAGACACUUUUUAGUUUUGCUUAUAAAUUUGUAACUUAUUUGUGUACAUAUAUAUAUGCUAAAAAAGAAAAUAUGUUUGAAUGCAAUAGACAACACAGACUAGAGAGAUACAAUGUGCAAUUGAUCGUUUUGAAACAGAGUAUAGAAGCACAAAAAAAGGAUGUGACUUGGGAGCAAAGGAAAAAUGGGAUCAAAUGAUAAAGAUGCGAGCAGAUACCACUCAACUUGAUGGAACUCGAAUAAUGACAGAUGAGGAAAUUUGUACAAAAGUUCUCAAAGUCAAAUCAGGCUACAUUAAGGGCUGUGGUUUUGGCCCUAGGCCACCACCAUUAAGGUUCUCGUUCUUCGAUGAGUGAAAUGUCUGAAAAGAAUACAGAGUUGCAAGAACAGCUUCAAGAGACCCAACAACUUGUAUGAACUCAAUAACAAAAGAUCGAUGCGCAAAACGAGGUAAUCCAAAGAUUGAAGGAUCAAGCCAACAAGUUUGAGGAGUUUAUGGCUAAUUUUUUCAGGCAACAUCCAUCAGUUUAGUAUUCUUAGUGAAUUUAAACUUGGAGAAAUGUUUAAUUGUGUUAUAUUUGUUAUUGCUUUAGACUAGCAUUAUUACUUAUGGUAGAAACUUGCUUGCU